GAUAGCACUAAUUCUUUUCCGCACAGUAGUGUUUGGUCUUGCAUUGUGAUGGCAUCUGAGUGUUGGCUUGGUCUCUGUUGGCUUGCUACAUAUCUAGAAAGCUCCAUGAUUUGUGCUAAGCUGAAGCGUAUCCAAUUUGGAUUUUCCAGCUCAAAAUAUCAGUAGAUUUGUUGUGGUAGUGCCUUAACAGGAUUUGAGGCUUCUCCAUUCAGGAAAAGACAAGUCCGGUAGAUACAAAAAUUACAAGAUCACAAGUUUGGAUUGAAGGUCACAAGAAAAAAAAUGGGAAGCCUAGUACUCAAGCUGUUGGAGAGAAAAUAGUGGACCUAAUUCGACCAAAUGAUGAAAUGCAGUUUCUCGAUGAUGCAAUAGAAAGCACGGUCGCAUGGUUAUCUAUAUUUAUAGUAUUGUGUGAUUGAUAUAUAUUAUACUAAUUUGUUUGGAUUGUAAGUUGAAUUGUUGUUAUGUAAUUGCUAGU